GACAGAGGUCCCGAGCGUUAGGCGGAAUCACUGGGCUUAAAGCGUGUGUAGGCGGACUUCUAAGUACCUUGUGAAAUCCCACGGCUCAACCGUGGAACUGCUUGGUAUACUGGUUGUCUUGGGCCAUCUAGGGGCGAGCGGAACAAACGGUGGAGCGGUGAAAUGCGUAGAUAUCGUUUGGAACGCCAAUGGUGAAACAGCUCGCUGGGGACUGUGCCGACGCUGAGACACGAAAGCCAGGGGAGCGAACGGG
rnacentral:rRNA from 1 species